GCCUCGGUGGCUCGGAGGCAAAGCGCUGGCCUAUGGAUCCCCAGGUGGCGGGUUCGAAUCCCGGCCGAGGUG
rnacentral:tRNA from 1 species